rnacentral:lncRNA from 1 species
GGAGUCGACUCGAAGACUAUUCUUUCGAAUUUUUCCUUUGAUUUUACUCCUCCAAUUUGAACCUUUUGAACUUUAAACUUGGGCCAAUGAAUUGUAGCUUUCUUCUAACUUUUCUUGAGAGCUUUUGGAGGCCUUCUUGUGUUCUUCCAACUUGCUAUGUUCCUUGCAAAAUAAAUAUCUUUCUCCUUGCAACAUAAACAUUAGUAUCUAUACUUCAAGGUUUUGUGAUCAUCAAAAUCAAUCUAUGAAUCAAUCUUUGGGUCAUCAAUCUCCCCCUUUUUGAUGAUGACAAAACUUGGAGUAUAUGCAAUAUAAAAGAUAUUGUUUUCUAGAAGUAAUACAUAGCUAAGUUGCAUGAAGUAGAAAACAUAUAUAUUUAAAAAACAUACUUCAUGAUAAUGCUUUAGAUUUAAUCAGCUUAACACAAUCAACAUAUUUCAAUUUAAGC